UACGUAGGGCGCAAGCGUUGUCCGGAAUUAUUGGGCGUAAAGAGCUCGUAGGUGGUUUGUCGCGUCUGUCGUGAAAGCCCAUGGCUUAACUGUGGGUCUGCGGUGGAUACGGGCAGGCUAGAGUCAGGUAGGGGAGAACGGAAUUCCUGGUGUAGCGGUGAAAUGCGCAGAUAUCAGGAGGAACACCGGUGGCGAAGGCGGGUCUCUGGGCCGAUAUUGACGCUGAGGAGCGAAAGCGUGGGGAGCGAACAGG
rnacentral:rRNA from 1 species